rnacentral:rRNA from 1 species
GACGUAGGGUGCAAGCGUUGUCCGGAUUUAUUGGGCGUAAAGAGCUCGUAGGCGGCUCGUCGCGUCGACCGUGAAAACCCGCAGCUUAACUGCGGGCCUGCGGUUGAUACGGGCGGGCUAGAGUUCGGUAGGGGAGACUGGAAUUCCUGGUGUAGCGGUGAAAUGCGCAGAUAUCAGGAGGAACACCGGUGGCGAAGGCGGGUCUCUGGGCAACAACUGACGCUGAGGAGCGAAAGCGUGGGGAGCGAACAGG